UGUGGAUGUACUGGGUUUGAUGCA
rnacentral:siRNA from 1 species